UACGUAGGGGGCUAGCGUUGUCCGGAAUCAUUGGGCGUAAAGCGCGCGUAGGCGGCCCAGUAAGUCCGUUGUAAAAGUCAAAGGCUCAACCUUUGAAAGCCGAUGGAUACUGCUGGGCUAGAGUCCGGAAGAGGCGAGUGGAAUCCUGGUGUAGCGGUGGAAUGCGCAGAUAGUCAGGAGGAACGACCGAUAGCGAAGGCAGCUCGCUGGGACGGUA
rnacentral:rRNA from 1 species